rnacentral:rRNA from 1 species
CUAGCGACAGGCUUAACACAUGCAAGUCGACCUGUAACAGGGUGUAGCAAUACACCGCUGACGACCGGCGCACGGGUGAGUAACGCGUAUGCAACCUGCCUUUGACAGAGGGAUAGCCCAUGGAAACGUGGAUUAAUACCUCAUAGUCUCUUUUUCCUUCCUGGGGAAUAGAGUAAAACGAGAGUGGUCAAAGAUGGGCAUGCGUCCUAUUAGGCAGUUGGCGGGGUAACGGCCCACCAAACCGAUGAUAGGUAGGGGUUCUGAGAGGAAGGUCCCCCACACUGGUACUGAGACACGGACCAGACUCCUACGGGAGGCAGCAGUGAGGAAUAUUGGUCAAUGGUCGAGAGACUGAACCAGCCAAGUCGGGUGAGGGAUGACUGCCCUAUGGGUUGUAAACCUCUUUUCUACUGGGAGAAUAAGCCCUAUGUAUAGGGUGAUGACAGUACAGUAGGAAUAAGCAUCGGCUAACUCCGUGCCAGCAGCCGCGGUAAUACGGAGGAUGCGAGCGUUAUCCGGAUUUAUUGGGUUUAAAGGGUGCGUAGGCGGCUUUAUAAGUUAGUGGUAAAAUUUCGGAGCUUCACUCCGGUCCGCCAUUAAAACUGUAGAGCUAGAGAAUGGACGAGGUAGGCGGAAUAAGUUAAGUAGCGGUGAAAUGCAUAGAUAUAACUUAGAACUCCGAUAGCGAAGGCAGCUUACCAGACCAUAACUGACGCUGAUGCACGAGAGCGUGGGUAGCGAACAGGAUUAGAUACCCUGGUAGUCCACGCCGUAAACAAUGCUCACCGGCCCUUAGCGAUAAGACAGUUAGGGGUUAAUUGA